rnacentral:tRNA from 1 species
GGUGGCAGAGUGGUCGAAUGUACCUGACUCGAAAUCAGGCGUACGUGCAAGCGUACCGUGGGUUCGACAAAUCGGCAUGGAAAGCCGAUUUGGACAGCCGAAGGCUGCCCGCGCGGCA